rnacentral:rRNA from 1 species
UACGGAGGGUGCAAGCGUUAUCCGGAUUUAUUGGGUUUAAAGGGUGCGUAGGCGGCUGAAUAAGUCAGUGGUGAAAGACGAUUGCUUAACAAUCGAGGUGCCAUUGAUACUGUUCGGCUUGAGUACAUGAGAGGUAAGCGGAAUUGACUGUGUAGCGGUGAAAUGCAUAGAUAUAGUCAGGAACGCCGAUUGCGAAGGCAGCUUACUGGUAUGUAACUGACGCUGAGGCACGAAAGUGUGGGUAUCAAACAGG